CCUACGGGAGUCUGCAGUGAGGAAUAUUGGUCAAUGGACGAGCGUCUGAACCAGCCAAGUAGCGUGAAGGAUGACUGCCCUAUGGGUUGUAAACUUCUUUUAUAUGGGAAUAAAACAGGGUAUGCAUACCCUCUUGUAUGUACCAUAUGAAUAAGGAUCGGCUAACUCCGUGCCAGCAGCCGCGGUAAUACGGAGGAUCCGAGCGUUAUCCGGAUUUAUUGGGUUUAAAGGGAGCGUAGGUGGAUUGUUAAGUCAGUUGUGAAAGUUUGCGGCUCAACCGUAAAAUUGCAGUUGAAACUGGCAGUCGUGAGUACAGUAGAGGUGGGCGGAAUUCGUGGUGUAGCGGUGAAAUGCUUAGAUAUCACGUAGAACUCCGAUUGCGAAGGCAGCUCACUGGACUGCAACUGACACUGAUGCUCGAAAGUGUGGGUAUCAAACAGGAUUAGAUACCCCAGUAGUC
rnacentral:rRNA from 1 species